rnacentral:rRNA from 1 species
AGUGAACGCUGGCGGUAGGCCUAACACAUGCAAGUCGAACGGCAGCACAGUAAGAGCUUGCUCUUACGGGUGGCGAGUGGCGGACGGGUGAGGAAUACAUCGGAAUCUACUUUUUCGUGGGGGAUAACGUAGGGAAACUUACGCUAAUACCGCAUACGACCUACGGGUGAAAGCAGGGGAUCUUCGGACCUUGCGCGAUUGAAUGAGCCGAUGUCGGAUUAGCUAGUUGGCGGGGUGAAGGCCCACCAAGGCGACGAUCCGUAGCUGGUCUGAGAGGAUGAUCGGCCACACUGGAACUGAGACACGGUCCAGACUCCUACGGGAGGCAGCAGUGGGGAAUAUUAGACAAUGGGCGCAAGCCUGGUCCAGCCAUACCGCGUGGGUGAAGAAGGCCUUCGGGUUGUAAAGCCCUUUUGUUGGGAAAGAAAAGCAGCAGGUUAAUACCCCGCUGUUCUGACGGUACCCAAAGAAUAAGCACCGGCUAACUUCGUG